GCGCCGGUUGUGUAAAGGCGUAGAGCAUUCCCGCGCGGUCAGAGGGGGUGCGGGUUCGAGUCCCGCCUGGCGCU
rfam:Heligmosomoides polygyrus genome assembly, scaffold: HPBE_scaffold0014203